CCUUGGGACCCCGGGGACAAAGCCUGGGUGCUGGUCUUGGCCUUAGCAGGCAGCUGGUGGGUGCAUCAAGCUUGGCCUGAUGGUUGGUGACACUUCCUGGUGUCCCAGGGACCUCGGGAGGUUGGCUCAGACCCUGCACCGAGGGCUUCCUGAGCAGUGCAGCCUUUCUUGUCAACCUGCGAGACUGCGGGGUCCUGGAUUAGUGAUACAACUAGAUUGGAGGAAACAAAUCCAUAGAAACCUCAGGCUGAUAAGAUUUCUUGGAGCCUGUCCCAGCAGGAGAGUGGCAGACUCUGGGCAUGACAGGGUUGGGGCUGGGAAAACAGGGCAGGGGAGUUACAGUUUGACUUGCCCACACAUCUGUGUGGCAUCACACCAAUGAAAUGCCCUUGGCACUGGGGUUCUCAGAAAGGCCUCUUUUUUGCAGCCUCCCUGAGUGUGCUGGGAGACAGCUGAGGGAACGUGGGAUGGGUAGAGUGGCACUGGUGGCCUCAGGGCCCAGCUGCAUGUCCCCAGUGUGGUGAGGGCAGCAGCUCUUUGCCUGAGCAGCGCUGUUGAACAGCUGGCUCUGGUGGGACACAUGAGAUCAAAGUGAGAAGGAGAACCACAUGUAGAUCAUCUUACAGGCUUUUGUGGGAACAGAUGCUGUCACAGGAAAAGGCUGCCCUCUGCAGUGCUUUAGCCCUGCUGCCUUCAGCUGGGGCUGAGGAACAGGGCAGGGUAGAAAGCCCGAGGGUUGCUGUGAGGCAGAGCAUGGUGUGUGGAGGAAGCAGGUGCUGUCACCUGCAGCGAGGUAAGGAGAUGCUGAGUGUCUCUUCCUGUCACUAACCUCAAGAAACAACUUCUUUAAAACAUGGUUUUCUCUCGACAGCGUCCCUUUAAGCCCCUUAAGGUGAGCUCUGUCUCCCUGCCCAGCAGGAAGCCUAGGAGGGGAGUAAGAACAGUAAGUGGCCUCGGGUGCUUGCACUGGGCUCCCGCGGUGUCACCUGCACGAGGCAGUCACACACACAGGGCUUGCUGACACGCUGGGUUUGACCUGUGCCCCUGCCUGGGCUAUGACACUUCACCUCCUGCCUCCACCAUGGCAGUGAGACACUCACACCCUGCACGGACCAUCACUGACCUCCCUGGUUUGCCUGUGGACAACAAGCGAGAUGGAAGCAGCUUGUCACAAGGGUCUGACACUGGCUCUCAGGGACUGUCCCCAGGUCCUGAGCCUGGAUGAUUUAUGGUCCCUGACCAAGAUAUUUUCACAGUUUCAUAGGACUGUGGGCAAACUGCUGUCCCCUUGGCUCACCCAAAAGCUUCCUUGCACUUGUCUCAUCCCCUCGGCAGUUUGGUGUGGGCACAUCCUGGUGUGGUUUCCAGCCCGGUGCUGGGAUGUAGAGGUAGAUAAAGAGGCACAGCUGGAGCAGGUCUUGCCUUCAGGAACACUGGCUGCAAGAGGCUGAUUUGCUUUUACAGAACCAGGAGGGAUGGAGCUUGUCGUGUCUGGGGACUCUUUGAGUUGGUGUGGGAUUGAGUAACUGGAACACUGUGCUGGGAACAGCAUGAAUGGCAACAGUGGGGGACCAGGAGCUGGGAAAGGGAAAGGUGAAGGAGGCCCUAGGUCAGGAAGAGCACACCUCUGAAC